GAUGAACGCUGGCGGCGUGCCUAAUACAUGCAAGUCGAGCGAACAGAUGAGGAGCUUGCUCCUCUGACGUUAGCGGCGGAAGGGUGAGUAACACGUGGAUAACCUACCUAUAAGACUGGGAUAACUUCGGGAAACCGGAGCUAAUACCGGAUAAUAUAUUGAACCGCAUGGUUCAAUAGUGAAAGACGGUUUUGCUGUCACUUAUAGAUGGAUCCGCGCCGCAUUAGCUAGUUGGUAAGGUAACGGCUUACCAAGGCGACGAUGCGUAGCCGACCUGAGAGGGUGAUCGGCCACACUGGAACUGAGACACGGUCCAGACUCCUACGGGAGGCAGCAGUAGGGAAUCUUCCGCAAUGGGCGAAAGCUUGACGGAGCAACGCCGCGUGAGUGAUGAAGGUCUUCGGAUCGUAAAACUCUGUUAUUAGGGAAGAACAAAUGUGUAAGUAACUAUGCACGUCUUGACGGUACCUAAUCAGAAAGCCACGGCUAACUACGUG
rnacentral:rRNA from 1 species